CGGCGAGUGCCGCGGCGUCCUCGCUGCCCCGGGGCUGGGCCCGGCCGCGCCGCGGACCCGGGCCGGCAGGGUCCGGGAACGGACCCCGGCCGUUGGUGAGGGCGAGGGCGGGGGCCGGGGGCGUGAGGGAGAGGGCGGUGGGCUGCUCGCCGGCCGCCUCGGGAAGCCGAGGGGCGACGGCGUGUCCAGGCAAGAGCCUGCCAUUAAUCGUGUCUGUAGGGACUUCUGGCAGGGAGGUUUGAGGCGUGGAGAAGGCCUGCAGCCCUGCUGCGGAGGGUUGGGAGCUUGCAGGCUGGGAACUGAAGUGUCCGACAGUCGCGUUAACCUUUCGGUAGCGAAGCUGCCGCGGCCGCGCUCUUCGCCUUCCCUUGGUAGCGCCCUGCGAGGGUAGCUGCAGCCAGCCAGCGCGCUGUUCUCGGCGCUUAGGGCGAACCGAAAGCGAGCGUGGCAGUCGGCUGUAGCGGCUCAGCUGCCUUACGCGCCGAGUCCUUCAAAGGAGGGAACUUCGAGUGCUGUCGAAGCUGUCUGACAUCUCAAGGUGCACGCAGAGUACCUGCACUCAGCAGGGCACUGCUCUGUUUGCUUCAGAGUUUUAGACGUUUAUGUCCAAACUUACUGCUUUACCUAGGCAAGAAUGGUUGCAGGAAUACAAUUUCCUAACGUGGACACUGUUAACAGAAGGCUUGUAAACCAAAAAUAAGAUUCUUGGCAUCAUCACAGCAGCUGCUCUGAUGUACCGUGCUCUCUCAGCAUCCCCACAGGAAAUCUGAGGAUUUUCCACAAAACUGAAAAAGGUGCAUCAGUGAAUAACCCACCUUCAACUGCAUGAUGCACCGAUGGAAACGAGUGAAAGGCUCACAGUGCGCGCAUGCACGCAACCCUUCUCCAUUCCCAGACUCAAUCUGUUAAGUCAUACAUUAUACGACUUGCUUGAGUCACAAGACUGAACUGCUAAUAACUGGUUUGUUACCAUCCAUUUCCUCUCAAUGUAGGUUACAUUUUUAUUUAGGGUAGUUUUUCCUGAUUGUCUGUUUAUACCUUUAGGAGCAGGUUUAUGAUGAAUCGAAAUAAACUACUUUUAAAAUGCAUUAAAAAUAGGUUGCACCAGUUUAAAUAGGACACUGGAAGUUUGAAUGUCUCCUGAAAUUAAACCAGUGUGUAUUUCUUAAAUAAAGUGGCCCAUAGAAGUACCAAAGGCCCAAAGGCGUGGUCAGGAUAUGUAGAUGGGAGACUGUGCAGUAAGUGAACGUGAAAGCACAGCAGUGCUUAUGAAAAACAGUAUUAAGUGUAAGCAGGAGAUCUAUACAUCAAAAAUUUGCUUAGCAAAUCGACUAUUGCUUUUAUGGAAUGCUACAGCUGAAUUAAAUUUGGACUUUUAACAAAUGUUUCUACCUGGAAAUUUAAUUAAAACAUAGUCGCCUAUUACUCAACUUGCUAUUGCACAAAAAUAAAGAAUAUUCAUUUGGGUUGGAAAAAUAUCAGAAUGUAUCCGAUAUUACUUUGUUAAGAGUACAUUUUAUUAAUUUUAUUAGAGAAGAUUCCAUGCUUCCUUCACUUAUUUGCCCUGAUCGUGGACUUCAUUUGCGUACCACUAUCUCCACAGUUUUUAUAAGAGAACAGAAAGUUAGACAUAUGAUUCUGCAACUAGUCCUGACUAUGAAAAAAGUUUUAGUAUACAUUUUUCUAACACUAUGCCAUUAAACUGUGUGUCUCCAUAAAAGCCACCCGGGAGGAAAACUUUAUUGCUUUGUAACUUUAGAAGAUAAAAAGUAAUCUUCCCAGCAGAAGGAAGAAAUGGCAAGUCAUGAUUUAUAAGACAGGUUUCAAAACUUUAAAAAUUACCUACUUUUAAUUACAGUUUUAAAGUACAUUUGUGGGUGGGUAAUCUGUAAAACAUGAAUUCAUAUUUCUUCCCACUCACCUCUUCUUAAUUGAGCCAUUUUAUAUAUAUAAACAUACAGAAUAAGGAAGUAUAAUAGAAUAUUUUAUUUAACAAAACAUGAUGUGUACUGAUUCACAUUGGACUCCUUUCAAGUAAAGAAGUGAUGACAUACAUAAGAAUGUAUACAAACUUGUUGAUGAAACUGGCUUUGGGCUUGCGCUUUUACGUAGGGAAUGAGACUUUUAGUAAAGUACAGAAUCUCUGUGAACUUUUGUAUUCAUUCUUUUAUUACAAAAAUCUUUUUCAAAUAUUUACAUGCUUUUCAUCAUAAAAAACAUAUUUCUGAA